rnacentral:tmRNA from 1 species
GGGGCCGUUUUGGAUUUGACAGGGAUGUUAGCAUGCAGUGCGUUGUACGGAGAGCACUUAAAAGAGAACGUUCACACUUUGAUUGGCGAAAAUAACUACGCCUUAGCUGCCUAAUUUAGAAUUAGCUAGCUUUUGUCCCUCUGGCUGCUGCAUCGUUAGGUCGGAAACCGGGGCAUCGAAAUAACAAUGCUGGCUGUUAUCAGGUACGGGAUAACGGCGAGAUAAAGUACCUAAGGAAAAAGUCAAGGUAGGUUUCCGGCCCGGCUGCUCCCGAAAACUAAAUGGAAAAUAAGCAUGUAGAAGGCAUAAUUUAUCACACAACUGGACAAGGGUUCGAACCCCUUCGGCUCCACAG